AAAAAUUUAGUUAACCCCCCCCCAUAACAUCAGCUUGUCAAGCUGAAAUCGUCAAAUUGACAAUUUUUA
rnacentral:tRNA from 1 species